GCUAGUGUGGCGCAGCUGGUAGCGCAAUUGAUUCGUAAUCAAUAGGCCGAGGGUUCAAGUCCCUUCACUAGCUCCA
rnacentral:tRNA from 1 species